rnacentral:RNase_P_RNA from 19 species
CGAGACGGCCGGGCGAUCGCGGCGCACGGAACCACCCUGUACACGGGGCAGGCCGGGCGCGGAGGAAAGUCCGGACUCCACAGGGCAACGGUGGUUGCUAACAGCAACCCGGGGCGACCCGCGGGAACAGUGCCACAGAAAACAAACCGCCCGCCACGCGCGGGUAAGGGUGAAAAGGUGCGGUAAGAGCGCACCAGCACCCCAGGCGACUGGGGUGGCUAGGUAAACCCCACCGGGAGCAAGGUCAAGGUGCCCGCACGCACGCCAUCCCAGAUGGUGCACCAGCGUGCGGCGUAGCUCUAGGGCUGCCCGCCCAACAAUGAGCAGGUAGGCCGCUUGAAGCCACCAGCAAUGGUGGGCUCAGAUGGAUGAUCGCCUCGUCCCACGCCUUCUUCGCGUGCCCCUCGCGGGCGCUGCGGAAAUGGACGGGGGAUAGGACAGAAUCCGGCUCAUAGGCCGUCUCGGCGC